rnacentral:lncRNA from 1 species
UAAACAUGUAGUUAGCACGUCUUUCACAUUUAAGGUCUCCAAAAAUGGAAGUUUAAAAAAUAGAAUGACGGAAAGAGGUAAGAUUCAGUGAAAAACAGAAGGUUUAAUUUAAAUGGAAUGAAGAAUUUCAGAAGUGUAACUAAAGAUGGCAGUAAGUAUACAGUAGUUUAGGAAUUUGUAAAAGUAUAGCUAAACAUGUUGAAAC